UACGGAGGGUGCAAGCGUUGUCCGGAUUUAUUGGGUUUAAAGGGUGCGUAGGCGGCUUUUUAAGUCAGUGGUGAAAUCCUCCAGCUUAACUGGAGUCGCGCCAUUGAUACUGGAAAGCUUGAGUACAGGCGAGGUUGGCGGAAUUGAAGGUGUAGCGGUGAAAUGCAUAGAUAUCUUCAAGAACACCGAUUGCGAAGGCAGCUAACUAGACUGUAACUGACGCUGAGGCACGAAAGUGUGGGGAUCGAACAGG
rnacentral:rRNA from 1 species